AUGUAUAAUCAAUUAUUUGGGCAUUACUCUUGUAUCCACAGGUUGAUGACAAAUGAGGACAUGGCCUGUUUCAGUAUGAAGUGGGGGAAGGGGAAGCUUGCCUUCACCAAGAUCAAUCUGUACACUGUUGUCACAGAGAGUGUCCAGAAAACAUCAAAAGAGACGGGGCAAAUAUUGCAGCGGCCACCGCCUUUUGUUUAAAAUAUGCCCCAGCAGAGCCGUCGCAAGGAGGGUGAGAGGCCCUGUGCAAAGUUGACAUGCGAGGCCCUCUACAAUUUUGCGUGUGUGUGUGUGUGUGUGUGUGUGUGGUGGGGGAGGUUGCUGUAGUAAGGCAAGGCAAGUUUAUUUAUAUAGCAGAUUUCGUACACAAUGGUAAUUCAAAGUGCUUUACAUAAAAUAAAGUAAAAUAAUCAUGAAGAACAAAACUAAAACAAGCAAUUUUAAAACUUUGGAAAUGAUUUAAAAAAAUUGACUUGAAUUUAAAACAGUUAGAAAUAGAAAAAUGAUUUUUACAUAAAAUACAGUGAAUACGUAAAAUACAGUGCAAUCAGGUCGGACAUCGCACAGUGCUCAUUAAAUAAAUGCACAGCUAAACAGAUGAGUUUUGAGUCUAGAUUUAAAUGUGACUAGUGUUUUAGCACAUCUGAUCUCUUCUGGAAGCAAUGUAUUUUGGUCCUAGGUCACUGAGUGACUUCUAGACGAGUAAAAGUAACUGGAAGCCAGUGAAAGGACCUGAGGACUGGUGUGAUAUGCUCAGAUGUUCUGGUUCUAGUCAGAAUCCUGGCAGCAGCAUUCUGGAUGAGCUGCAUCAUUUUUGAAAAAAGAUGUGGGAAGUGUGUCAAGAUAGCAAGUUGACGAUUUUAGUUGCUGCACUAUGUCUUCCAAAAAUGUUGCUAUCAAUUGCUUCAAAAUAGACAGUAUCUUUUUUUGAUAUUGCAGCCGAAUCUGUCUGACCUCUGCAUUGCUUGAGGAUGUGCUAAUCGCCUUCCUGAUAUUGAUGAUCUUCUCAGAAAAGAAGGAAGCAAACUCAUUGCAUUUGCAGUCUGACAGCAUUUCACUGGGAAUCUGACUCUGGGAAACUGAUUUCUGUCUGUUUGUUUUCUUACUGACUAUUAUUGGAGCAAUAUCAUUAAUACCAUUCUUAACUUUUGAGUUAAAGGAAUCAAGGAGAAUAUCAACAGAGUCCGCAAAAAUACUCAGUGUUAAAGAUAUGGCCUCCAUAAAUAGUACACUAGUGUUCUCGUUAGGGCUGCACUAUUAAUCGCAUGCAAUUGUCAUGCGCGUCUUGUCAGUAAAGCUGGUUCUGUGAUUAGCGCUUAAUGUCCAGAGCCGUAGUUCGCUGACGCAAUAUCACGUUAAUAACGGCAUGCGAUUCAUCUGCGAUUAUGAACGCGAUAUUGCGCCGCUUGUCAGCAAACUACGGCUCGGUCUAUUAAGUGCAGCUACAUUUGAAAGCAUCUCCUUCUGACAGAGACAGAUCUAGAUUCAGUGGUAGCAGAGAUCAAUAUAUCAAAGAAAAA
ensembl:lncRNA